rfam:Brassica napus, WGS project CCCW01000000 data, contig: 4430
UAAAGCCAAUGUGCUCGUAGUCUGAAUAACUCAGAAAUUGAUAGUGUUUACAUCAGCUUUAUCUCUGCUUCGGCCUUGGGAUAUUAGUUAAACUAGAACACUAUAUUA